rnacentral:lncRNA from 1 species
ACCAAAAAGACAUAAUAUAUAAGACAAAUAUUCAUGAUUAUAUUGUAUAACGACGACUAAUUUAAUAGUGUAUACAUACCUUUAGAAACCUGCAUAAAUUGAAAUUAAAGGUACAGACAAAGAAGAAGCUUAUAAGAAAUCAACCUUUCUAACUUGUUGUUUAAUUACUGGCUAAUUACCUAUUUGAAAUGGGGUUUGGACCACUAGGAACUUCAUGAGCACUAGCAUUCAAUAAUUUGUCUCUCCAUAAGUAGGAUGGCGAUUGAUGAGCUUUAGGGUACUCAUGUUUACCUCUUCUACCCAUAAUUGGAGAAUAUUGAACUUUUUUACUAGCAAUUUGAUCUUCUCUCAGUUUCUUCUUGACAGCAUAAUGAUCUACUGAUGAAUGAUAAUUAACUCGUAAAAGAUUCGGUUGUAGUUGUCCGUCUUCUGCCAUAACAGUGAGAAGUAGAAAGAAGAAGAGAGUAAGUAGUGAGGCAAUAUUGUAAGGAGAAAUGAAAGAAGAAGAAGUAGUAGUCAUUUUACAGGAGAGAAGCUAGAAAGCCAUCCUUAACCAUAAACAAGUACAAAAAUACAAGAAGAUCAACUAUUCAACACUAGAUGUCUUCGACGAACAAAGAUAUUGCAUGUGUGGGCUUUAUUGUUGAUAACAAGAGGGGCUAACCAUGUGAAAACCCUAAAAAAAAGAAAGCAGAACUAGCUAGCUUAAACUAGUUUGAAAAAUUAGGGAUGUAACUUUAGGAGAUGUAGUUCAAAGAUAAAACGCAUGGAGAAAGAAAGAGGAAAUAAAAGAGAGAGAAAAAAGAGAAUCUUGAAAGAGAUAAAGUGGGAAAGGGAG